ACCCAUGUAACAAGCAGAGGAUCAGUGACUCCCAACCAAUAAAGGCUUAGGGCACCAGGCUUUAAAGGCUUUCGCCACCCCUUCGGACCAUGCUCAGGUUUCAAGGCAAGCAAAGAAGUUUAUUCUAUAUUUUUUUUCUUUUUCUUUUUCUUUUUCUUUUUUCUAUUUUUUCAAAGACUCAUUGGUCUUUAUGAGGUGUCCCAACACUAUUAAAGAGAGGUUAAAGGUGUCAAAUUAUGAUUUCUCAAGCUUAGAGGGUGA
rnacentral:lncRNA from 1 species